rnacentral:rRNA from 1 species
UACAGAGGGGGCCAGCGUUAUUCGGAAUUAUUGGGCGUAAAGGGCGCGUAGGCGGCCAUGCGUGUCUUCCGUGAAAUCCCUCGGCUUAACCGAGGACGUGCGGAAGAAACUGCAAGGCUCGAGUCCGGAAGAGGGGGGCGGAAUUCCCAGUGUAGCGGUGAAAUGCGUAGAUAUUGGGAGGAACACCAGUGGCGAAAGCGGCGCGCUGGACCACUACUGACGCUGAGGAACGAAAGCUAGGGGAGCAAACAGG